UACGAAGGUGGCGAAUGUUGCUCGGAUUCACUGGGCGUAAGCGUCUGUAGGUGGCUUGUUAAGUUAGAGGUGAAAGCCCCGGGCUCAACCUGGGAACUGCAUUUGUGACUGCACGGCUGGAGUGCGGCAGAGGGGGAUGGAAUUCCGCGUGUAGCAGUGAAAUGCGUAGAUAUGCGGAGGAACACCGAUGGCGAAGGCAAUCCCCUGGGCCUGCACUGACGCUCAUGCACGAAAGCGUGGGGAGCAAACAGGAUUGAGA
rnacentral:rRNA from 1 species